AGUCACUGACAUUAGAUACCCGCGUAGUCCCAGCCGUAAACAAUGUGCGUUAGGUGUGUCGGUAACCACGUGUUACUGAUGCGCCGAAGAGAAAUCGUGAAACGCACCACCUGGGAAGUACGGUCGCAAGGCUUGAACUUAAAGGAAUUGGCGGGGGAGCACCACAACAGGUGGAGCCUGCGGUUUAAUUGGACUCAACGCCGGGAAGCUCACCGGAUAAGACAGCGGAAUGAUUGCCGGGCUGAAGACUCUGCAUGACUAGCUG
rnacentral:rRNA from 1 species